AGCCGGCGGCUCUGGUUGUCAUGGACGCACUUCGUUUAGCAACCAAAACACGUGAUUCUUUAGAGAGACAGGCUGGGGUCCUACAGCAGAAAUUGCUUGCUGAGUAUAAAGGGAACGCGAGGAAAUGAAUCAAGAGCAGCAGCAGCAGGAUCUGGGCGUGUAUAUAUAUUCUGUAUAUGCUGAGUGUAUAUUUCUGCUUUCAGAUGGAGUACUAGGGAGUAAUAACCAUGCAGCAAAUCCGAUGUACAACAGGCAAGUGGCUUACAUUAUAGCAACAUACUGAAAGUUUGUUUUCAGCCAAUAUCCUCCCUAUAAAAAUCUCUUUA